GGGGAUGUGGCUCAGUGGUAGAGUGCUUGCCUAGUAUGCAUGAGACCGUGGGUUUCAUCCCUA
rnacentral:tRNA from 1 species